AGCGGGGUAGAGGAAUUGGUUAACUCAUCAGGCUCAUGACCUGAAGGUUGUAGGUUCAAGUCCUGCCCCCGCCU
rnacentral:tRNA from 1 species